UUACAUCUCUUCGGAGCAUUUUACGUAGGUGCUGCAUGGUUGUCGUCAGCUCGUGCCGUGAGGUGUCGGGUUAAGUCCCAUAACGAGCGCAACCCCUACCUUUACGUUGCCAUCAGGUAAUGCUGGGGACUCUAAAGGAACUGCCUACGCAAGUAGUGAGGAAGGCGGGGAGUGACGUCAAAUCAGCACGGCCCUUACGUCCAGGGCUACACACGUGCUACAAUGGCCGAUACAGAGGGCAGCUACCUGGUGACAGGAUGCAAAUCUCCAAAGUCGGUCUCAGUUCGGAUCGGAGUCUGCAACCCGACUCCGUGGAGUUGGAUUCGCUAGUAAUCGCGCAUCAGCCAUGGCGCGGUGAAUACGUUCCCGGGCCUU
rnacentral:rRNA from 1 species